rnacentral:rRNA from 1 species
UACGUAGGGUGCAGGCGUUACUCGGAAUUACUGGGCGUAAAGCGUGCGCAGGCGGUUUCUUAAGUCAGAUGUGAAAGCCCCGGGCUUAACCUGGGAACUGCGUUUGAAACUGGGAGACUUGAGUGUGGCAGAGGGGGGUGGAAUUCCACGUGUAGCAGUGAAAUGCGUAGAUAUGUGGAGGAAUACCGAUGGCGAAGGCAGCCCCCUGGAAUAACACUGACGCUCAUGCACGAAAGCGUGGGGAGCAAACAGG